rnacentral:lncRNA from 1 species
CUCAGUCGUCGAGUGCUAGGGACUAGUCGAGCCUGGAGGCACAGGGAGUAGGGUGUAGGAAGGCCUGCCUCUGCCUAUGGUGGGGUCCUGGGAGCCAGGAGGAGGCCGUGACCCGAGAAAGGUGCUGGACUGAAGCCUCAACCCUCCUCUACUUGAGGCUUUCCUGCACCACAGUCCAACCUCCCAGGAGGGGCGCGGCUUCGGACUUAGCUUCUGCCCAAUGAGAGAGGGUCUCCCCGUGACUGUGCUGCCAGGGAAGCCACUUGACCCUGGUGCCCCCAAGGAGGGAUUCAGCCCGAGCCCCACCUCUCCCUUAGGGACCUCCGCCCACUCUACCCUCAAGCCAGGAUGCCCGGAGCUGUCCCCGGAAAUGCGUGUGCUUCAGGUGAUUUAACUGAUUAUUGAAUAGGCCCGCAGGAGGUAUGUCCUGCCCACGGGGCCGAAGCCUCGGAGGACAUUAUCUGGACUUAGUCCCUUCCCCGCGAUGCCAUCAAGCUGGACAAUUUUAAGGUCUGUUUCUUUCCCAAUGUAGGGUAUAGGUUGGCACAGCAAAGAGGGCUAGAAACCUGACUUGCGCUCCCCACCCAGGGCUGAACUGUGCAGCAUCUUGAUCGCUUCUCAUUGAACCUUGCUUAUACUCCCCCUGUGAUCGGUAGCUCAUUAUCUCAAAACAGAAUAUUCUAAGCCAACCCCUGCCUGCUCUCACCAAGUAAGAUUUCUCAUUUGAACCCCAGCUCCCAGAUACUUAAAGGCCUUCUGUAGACCAUGUCCUCAAGGUCCCCUGGCCAUCUGCUUGCAUGCUCCAGUUUCUCUCCACCCCCAUCCACAUCGUGAAAUGUGCCCUCCCACUCCCCAGGAUGAGCAAGGUGGUGUCCUCUGUGACUGAGCAGUCAGCAACUUAACACCAAAGGUCACCAAUGAUCAAAUCCAUGAGAGUUGAUCUGAGGAGUUAUGUAUUAGGGCUACGAAAGAGUAAACACUCAGUAAAUAGUGGCUAUUAUUAUCAUCAUCAUCAUCAUGAUUACUCUCAAUUUCCCCCUGGAGAACUCCUAUUCAACCUUCAAAACCCCACGUGGUGGCACCCAUCCUGCAGAGACUGAGCUCAAAUUCAGAGAGUUGUGAUUUUGUGAUGAUUUGAUGAGUUCCCAAACUGGGGUCCGUAGAGCAGCUGGGCCAACCCUGAGGUCUCUCAGCAUCCAGCUCUGUUCUUUUUCUGCCUGACCAGUUCCUGGGUAUAAGUCUCAGGCCCGGCCAGUCCGGCUGAGGAGUGUGCAGACACAGG